rnacentral:rRNA from 1 species
AUACGUAGGGUGCGAGCGUUAUCCGGAAUUAUUGGGCGUAAAGAGCUCGUAGGCGGUCUGUCGCGUCUGCUGUGAAAACCCGAGGCUCAACCUCGGGCUUGCAGUGGGUACGGGCAGACUAGAGUGCGGUAGGGGAGAUUGGAAUUCCUGGUGUAGCGGUGGAAUGCGCAGAUAUCAGGAGGAACACCGAUGGCGAAGGCAGAUCUCUGGGCCGUUACUGACGCUGAGGAGCGAAAGCGUGGGGAGCAAACAGGCUUAGAUACCCUGGUAGUCCACGCCGUAAACGUUGGGAACUAGAUGUGGGGACCAUUCCACGGUCUCCGUGUCGUAGCUAACGCAUUAAGUUCCCCGCCUGGGGAGUACGGCCGCAAGGCUAAA